UGAAGCGGUUUAUCGGCCCUCGUAACUAGGUAGAUGCCAGCGUUGUGCACGGUAAUUUAUGAGCUUUCCUCUAACCAAGGUAUGUGCUUGGUUUUAGGCACUUGCAACUGGUCUGUGCCGUCGUGGGUCCCUGCACGGUGGAAAGAAAACCCUGCUCUCAGUGAAGGAGACAGAGAAAGCGCCCGAGAGUGGGACCAGCCACAGCAGAAUCCAGAAGAGAGAUUUCUGCUACAGAUCAUAUGGGAAAUCAUUCUUAUGAAUGGAUCUCGCGUCCCUCAGAACUGGGUGUCGAAGAUCACAGGUGAAAGCUUGGCAGCUCAGGAGGGUUUGUCAGGAGGACAUGGAGACCCUGUGGUGCAGAAGCUACUGAGCCUGUCAUAA
rnacentral:lncRNA from 1 species